UGUUUGCUUUGUACGUUUUAUUUGCAAAUGCAAAAUGAAUAACUUAUGAGGAUAUGGCUAGUAAUCAUUCCAGUCAGCGGUCACGAGUUAAAGGAACGUUGGAACUCUAUCACGCAUACAUUUCCGACUCAUCUAGUAUUGAAAAUGAUAACGGAGACGUAUCUGAUUCGGGCGGAUGGGAAUUAGUACAGCCAGAGAGUAACAGUCCAAUAGAACAAAGCGCAGAUAUUACGAUGGUUAAUAGGCCAUUACCACCAGGAUGGGAAGAAAGACAGGACGCAAAUGGUCGUACAUACUAUGUUAAUCAUAUAGCGCGUUUCACGCAAUGGGAACGACCAGAACCAGAUACAACAGCGACAAGUGGAAUUGUUGAACAACGUAAUCUGGAUACAGCAGCUACUGAAUUUCAACGACGAUUUCAUAUUAGUGCUGAUGAUGAAGGCAGACAUAGAAAUUCUGUAGUAAAUCAAGAUGGUGAAGUUCUACGCGAGGACGAUGAAGAUUCGGAAGCAAGAGAUUGUGAGGGUGGGGAUCAUAAGGGAGGGGGUAUUGGGGAUACUUCUUCAGACUCCGGACGUUCUGUCGAUCAACGUGGCUACCUUAGUGAAUCUGAAGAACAGACUGAUGAUAAUGUCGAUAGUCCGGCUGGUUCGAGACGUUCAUCAGAACAGAUUGAAAGUCCCAAACCUACUCUUCCUGUGUCUAAUGAUGAAGGAUUACCUCCUGGUUGGGGUAUGCAAGUAGCACCUAAUGGUAGAAUAUUUUUUAUUGAUCAUAAUGAGAGAGCGACAACCUGGAUUGAUCCCAGAACCGGAAGACCAAGCUCUAUACCUAAUCAUAUUGCACCAUCAACAACAUCAAGAAAUGACUUAGAUCAAUUAGGACCUCUUCCAGAAGGAUGGGAGGAAAGAGUACAUACCGAUGGACGAAUCUUUUUUAUAGAUCAUAAUACGAGAACAACACAAUGGGAAGAUCCACGUAUGUCUAAUCCUCAAAUUGCUGGCCCAGCUGUACCAUAUUCCAGGGAUUACAAACGUAAAUAUGAAUAUCUGAAAUCACAAUUGAGAAAGCCUAACAAUGUUCCUAAUAAGUUUGAAAUAAAAGUUGGACGGAAUAAUAUUUUGGAAGACUCGUAUCGUAUCAUAAGUUCUGUUAACAGAGUUGAUAUUCUAAAAACAAAAUUAUGGGUAGAAUUUGAAGGAGAGGUAGGUUUAGAUUAUGGUGGCCUUGCAAGAGAAUGGUUCUUCUUAUUGUCUAAAGAAAUGUUUAACCCAUACUAUGGACUUUUCGAGUAUUCUGCAACAGAUAAUUAUACACUGCAAAUUAAUCCUUGCUCUGGUGUAUGUAACGAGGAACAUUUGAAUUACUUUAAGUUUAUUGGACGUAUAGCAGGAAUGGCUGUUUAUCAUGGCAAGCUUUUGGAUGCUUUCUUUAUUCGACCAUUUUAUAAAAUGAUGUUGGGCAAGCCAAUCGAUCUAAAGGAUAUGGAGAGUGUUGAUUCUGAAUAUUACAAUUCUCUUCUGUGGAUUAAAGAGAAUGAUCCUAGUGAAUUAGAACUCACUUUUAGUCUUGAUGAAGAAAGCUUUGGUCAUACUUCCCAAAGAGACUUAAAGCCAGAUGGUGCUAAUAUUCCUUUGACCGAUGAAAAUAAGGACGAGUAUAUAAGUUUAGUUAUACAAUGGCGAUUUGUAUCUCGCGUACAAGAACAAAUGAAUGCUUUCUUAGAAGGUUUUAAUGCUCUUAUACCGCCAACAUUGGUAAAAAUAUUUGAUGAACAUGAACUAGAGUUGUUAAUGUGUGGUAUACAGCAUAUUGAUGUGAAAGACUGGAAACAAAAUACUUUAUAUAAAGGGGACUAUCAUGCAAAUCAUAUUGUUGUACAAUGGUUCUGGAGAGUCGUUUUGUCAUUCAGUAAUGAAAUGCGUUCUAGAUUAUUACAGUUUGUGACUGGCACAUCACGUGUUCCAAUGAAUGGAUUCAAAGAACUUUAUGGCAGUAAUGGACCACAGUUAUUUACAAUUGAGAGGUGGGGUACACCAGAGAAUUACCCAAGAGCUCAUACUUGUUUUAAUCGUAUUGACCUUCCUCCGUAUAAAAGUUAUCAACAACUCAGGGAUAAGCUAGUUAAAGCAAUUGAAGGUUCUCAAGGUUUUGCUGGAGUCGACUAGCACGAAAUACCUUUGUUCAUGAUGAUAUCUGUAAUAUAAUGUAUAUAUUACAUAUAUUUCAUAUAGAGGUUAUAUCAUUAAUGUUACCUUGCUUCUUCUUCUGAGUUUGUAAUAACUUAAGGAUGUCUGUUGUGCUCAGGUAGCAUAAUUAUAUAUACUAUAUUAAUUGAAGGAACAAAUUGUUUAUAACAUUGUUUCCCAGAAAUCUUAUCAUUGUGUAUAUUUUGUCAAUAUUUUGGUGCAACAACACUCAAUAGUCUUGAAAAUAAUAUAAAUGUUGCUCCUUGUUAAAAAUCGAAGAUGAUGAAAUUAAUGUCAGAUGCGAAUGCCUAUCUUGUAUUAUAACAUUUAUUCACAGAAUUAACGUACAUUCUGAAGGAUACGGAGUUGAUAUAACAUUCCAUCCUAUUUGUACAGCUUAUUUUAUUGUAAACAGGUACGUCCCGUUAGAUAAUAAAUAAUAUUGUCAUGACAGAAAUUUUGUGGCCUUAAAUUCUGGUUAUGAAAUUUCUUAUUUUAAUAAGUCUCUCGUUCGUAAAAUCUAGAUUCGUACGAUAGUGAAAUGCGCCAAUUAUUCGUCGGUAGGUGAAUAUCCUUUUGUACUCCUUCAUCUUCAUAUUAGAUUUGCAGAGAAAUGUGUAUAAGUUUACAUUUAAUAUGUUAGUACUUGUUAGCUUGCAGAUAAUAAGCUUUAUCCAGUGUAAUCUAAUAUGUUAUGAAGUGCGUAUAAGACCGUAAAUUCAUAGAACAAUGAACAAUCAGCGCGUGAUCCAAUCUUCAUGAUUUAUAAUGAAGAUUGAAUACAGAACAAAAUUAUUAUUAUGCAGUGCAGUGUUCUUAAAAUCUAUCUUUCAGAAUCGGUCUCUUUAUAUUAAUGCUUUACAUUUAAUUUUUAAAAUAUGAUUAAAUAUAAAUUGUGAGAUAUAACGAGAUGGAUUAAUUUUUUUGUUUCAAUGUAUUGACAUGCAUAUAUAUCAUUUAUCAUAUAAAUUAAUAAUUUGACUAAUAAUGGUUAGAAGCGAAUAAGUAUUAUAUAUAGUUAAUGUUAGAUGGAUUUAUUAGAACACUAGUCACAAUGUAAUGCGGACGAUGCGAGAGACUCGUAAAUUUUGUAAUCGUAGUUUGAGUAUGCUCUAUAGCUCUUAUAGCUUCUUGUAUUAUAUUCCUAUAAAGAAAAAAAGAUGAUAAAUACGAAAAAGAAGUAUAUGAAUGAUAAGAUAUUUAAUGAAUUUAAUAAUUGCAUUUGGUAUCCAAUGUAUUAUGUAACAUUUUUACAGACAACGUGUUAAAAUUGUAUUUACUUGUAAAUCGAUGAUAUAAAAAAUUUAAAUGUAGGUAUUAUCGGAUAGAUGUUUUGUUUGAAAAUGACCGCAUUUAUGCUUGAUCUAUAUAAAUAGCCCGUAAAACUUAAUGCCUUACGAUAAUUAUAUCACGCAUUAGAAUGUAUCUACUUAACGUUUGCAAUUAUUAUUUACUGAUGUAAUAAUAUGUUGACUUUACUACUGCGUCAGAUAGCUAUUAUUUGUCGGUACACUUUAUGUGUCUAUAUUCAUAUGUCUUUUCACUACCAAUGCCUUAUUUAAUUUAGGAAGGAGACUUAAUUAUUUUAAGCUAGCUCAAUGUGGUACAGAACAUAUUUUAUUUACAUAUACUUAUGUGCACGAACUGAAAUAAAUGCGUGACUUAAUUACGUUACA
rnacentral:misc_RNA from 1 species